UACGUAGGGUGCGAGCGUUUGUCCGGAAUUAUUGGGCGUAAAGAGCUUGUAGGCGGUUUGUCGCGUCUGCCGUGAAAUCCGAGGCUCAACCUCGGACUUGCGGUGGGUACGGGCAGACUAGAGUGUGGUAGGGGAGACUGGAAUUCCUGGUGUAGCGGUGAAAUGCGCAGAUAUCAGGAGGAACACCAACGGCGAAGGCAGCUCGCUGGGACGGUACUGACACUGAGGCACGAAAGCGUGGGGAGCAAACAGG
rnacentral:rRNA from 1 species